rnacentral:lncRNA from 1 species
CGUGGGUCAAAGCAGAUCUGAACGUACAUGUGGGAAGGGUCCCCGACGUGCUAAUAUGACUUUGGAGUCUGACGUCACAGAGAACAGGGAACGCACUUCAUCGGCUCAGCAGGCAUUGCUGCAGUGCGCAGGUGAGCGGUGGUCCCGCAGCACAGCCCCAGCAGCUGCCCACAUCUACAGCUGGAGGGGAAGGGGUGCAACGACCGAACUAUACAGGAAAGGAAAACCUGCUCAAAGGAAAACCUCAACUACACAUCCGUGCUGUUCCCAGGGAAGGGCCACGGGCAGGGCUCCAAUAGGAACUACGAGAACAUCAAGAUCGGCGCCGAUUACGUCAACGUGGACCCAAAAAAGAAGAAAGCUGAUUUCUGGACCUUCUCCGGCCCCGUGGCAUCCGCGUCCAUCGAAUACACGGAGGUGAAACCGUGACACUCCCUGGGGUCCCACUGCAGCCCUCACUCCGUGCCCAGCAAACAUGUGGGGUGCAGGAGGUGAUCUUCCCCACCCGAGCUGUGCCCACCCCAGGGUGAGUGUGGCUCCCACCUCAGCUGCAGCUCGGUGUGACCAACCAAGGCUCACCUGGGAUGCUGCAGGGACAGCAGGAAGAAACCCCAUUGCCUCCAGGUCCUGUGCCCUGCAGACACUCUGCUCCCCGCUAAAUAAGACAAAAGCAG